rnacentral:ncRNA from 1 species
UCCACCGUGAGGUGGAAUCUGAAGGAAGCCGGCGGCAAAACUCUGCCCCGAGGAACACGAACCUUAUCAGGCAUAACCGAUGGGAUGAGACUGCCAAACAAGUCAAAGUCCAAAGAUUACACGGACAUCGGGAUGUAAAUGAGGCGGGGACAUGGAGUGAAAGUGAGUUGU